UUAUGUAAUCAAUUUACCAUAGGAACUUACUGAACUAAGUGAAGACAUGGAAUGCCUACAGGGAAUUUCUUGGUAGAGGAAAACAAGAAAACAAGUAAUAUCAGACUGAAAUUUUCAGCCAGGUGGUCAUAUGUUCCUAUAGUUCAGAUGUCAUUUUUGCAAAUUAACUACAAACAUUUACCCUUCUACCAUCAUUCACUUCCAUUUUUGCCAAAUCUUAAAACAUUUUUUUCCCCAAAAAAGAAAACACAUCAUGAGCAUCACUCAGUACUCACCCCAAAAUACUUACAGUUCAACUUUACAUGCGUACUUCAGACUACUGUUCUUUCAGAAAACACCAUUCCCUGUAGCAGUGAGACUCUUAAAUACAUGCUACUGACUAAAAGCAGACAGACAUAAACAAGAACCUUCCUUAAGAUGCUCAUUUCUAAUCUUCAUAAUCACGAAACAUUUUACUCUACACAAGUGUGUAUCUAGAUAAAUCUAUAAUCAACUAGACUUAUAACUACCGACUCCUCAAAACUUCUUAACAGAAUACUGUUUGGAAAGUCUAUCGACUUUCACCUACCGACAGAAAAGUAGAAAAUCUCUUUUAAUAAGGAGUUCUCAUGCUAGAUAUUUCUGUUCCUAUUAUCUAAAGCUAAUGAUUCCUUUGUCUGAAACGUAUCCUUUCUUUACAUGUCAAACACUUUUUUGUAGAUGAUUGUCAUCAAAGAACAUAAGAAAAAUUAGGUGACUAAAGUUGAAAAUAGGAGUAAUAAAAGACAAGGGUCAAAUGGCAGUGAUUAAUACCAUAGUGAUAUUUACCUUUAUUUGCUAUUAACAAUAAAUUUCCUUUGACUUUGCUUUACAGAUUCUAUGCAAAAUGGAACACACAUAAGAGAAAAAAAUAUGGGAUCUGCAGAAAAUGCAAGCUGACAAAACAUUAAAACAAACAUGGACCUCAGAAAGAAGAGCAACUACUUGUUCUCACUCACAUUCCAUGACAGUAAGACCCCACUUUCCUGUGGGGAGCAGGUGUAGCUAUCACCUCCCUUUUGGCAGUUUGUUUCAGCCAAGGAGUUAUUACUGCAGCUGUUCAGCUGACAGCAAUUACCACUGGCAAUGGUUGUUAUAUGUGGAUCUCACCUUCUAAAGAUUUCCUCCCAAGAGAGUUGAUGUGCUG
ensembl:lncRNA